GCCGGGGUGGCGGAACAGGCAGACGCAAGGGACUUAAAAUCCCUCGGGAGCAAUCCCGUACCGGUUCGAUUCCGGUCUCCGGCACCA
rnacentral:tRNA from 1 species